GACGAACGCUGGCGGCGUGCUUAACACAUGCAAGUCGAACGGAAAGGCCCCGUUUGGGGUACGCGAGUGGCGAACGGGCGGGUAACACGUGCGUAAGCUGCCCGUGACUGCGGUAGAACUUCAGGAAACUGGGGCGAAUACCGGAUGGGAAGCAUCUCUGCAUGGUGGGGGGGGGAAAGCUUGGGCGGGUUUGGGGGGACGCGCGGCCUAUCUGUCUGUUGGUGGGGGAGUGGCUUACCAAGGCUUUGGCGGGUAGCCGGCCGGAGGGGGCGACCGGCCACAUUGGGGCUGGGAUACGGCCCCGACUCCUACGGGGGGCCGGCGUGGGGGAUAUUGCCCCAUGGGCCGGAGCCUGAUGCAGCCACGCCGCGUGCGGGAUGACGGCCUUCGGGUUGGAAACCGCUUUCAGCAGGGGCGGAGCUUGUGGUGACGGUACCUGCAGAAGAAGCACCGGCUAACUACGUG
rnacentral:rRNA from 1 species